UGUAUUCUGUGCGCGCAGUUUUGCAGCUUGAGCUACGUGUUAUAUGGCGCUUCGCGGAACAAAUGAUAAAGUUGCGUUCCGGGGCCCUAUUCUUGACGCUGCUGGAAGAAUUCCACUAGCGGAAUUACUUGAUUCCACCAGAAAUUUUCUAAACCCUAUUCUUGAACACUCGCUAGCGGAAUUUUGUAUCGGAAUUACGUCACAAUCUACCGGAUUAAUUCCGCCACCUCGUGAGCUGGCGGAAUCACAAUUCCGGUAGAGAUUUGAGCGUUUUUUGUUCUUUGAUACCAUGAUUUGUCCAAAAUGGAGUCUCUGUUAUGGUUCUGAAAAAUAUUUAAAUCGUUUGUAUGUUUGGUUACUUUAGGUUAGCUACAUAUCUCGUUUAAUAAUGCGUGUGUUUAUAUACUUAUAUUAGAUUACUUCAUUUAAAACCAGAAAUAACUUAUUCGCCUCAUUAUGUUAUGUGAUUAUUCAGAUAAAAAUACGCCAUGUGAUGCUUUCAACCUUAAAAUUCCUGUGUGCGUGGCGAGAAAACUUUUGUAACAAUUUAACUAAUAUUUAAUGUUUUAAGUAUUAUUACAUUUGUUUGUGUGAUUUGCAAUGGCAGGUAUUUAAAUAUUACGUUACGAAAGUUAUAUUUACCAUCUUCCAUUAAGUACUUAAUAUGGUACCUACUUAGUAUUAAAAACAUUAAAAUUUUUGCUGUGUAUAAAUUUGUGGCUUAUUUGACGUAUAUUUUGAUAAAUACAAUACCGGUAACAUAGUUUCCAUAUUACGUAAUUCGUUUUUGACACCAAAUAUUGCAAUCGUGUGUCAUGUUUUGAUGGAACAAAACUAUAGUGGUAGUUAGAUUAUGCACAUGUAUUCGUUAAAAGUACAUCCAUCCCGGAAUUGAAAAGUACUCGAAAUGAGUCCAUUUAUAUAUGAAUUUCCCACAGUGAUAAGUGAUUGUGAAAAUAAAGGUUAUUCUAUUUACCCUUCCCUAUCUUGCAAACAGAGCCAACAUUCCUACCCCGCAAAUAAUAUGAUUGAAAACAACACACACCGAUGAAAACCCACACAAGUAUUAUUAAAUAAAUUAUGAAAGAAGAUAUAGUUGAAAGAUUUUGUUGAUAAAUUCAUGAUUGUUUUCAAGAAGCCCCUACACCAAAAAAUAACAAACUUUGGUAAAAGUUCUGUAUUGCUUAUCCAGGUGUAUCCAGAUAUACCUUUGAUUCUAAUGGCAUAAUCCUGUACACCUGAUCCUGUGUUAUAUGAUGCUUAUCUUUAUCAGUGGGAAGGCGUGUAGCCCUGACUUGUUUCGCGCGAAAGCGCGAAACCUGAUGUAAAAAAUAAAUUACAUAUAUGAUAAAUAACUUCACAUUUCGCGCUGUCGCGCGAAAUGCGUCGGCGCUACGCGCCUGCCCACUGCAAAAAAAUAAGCAUCAUGUACCACAGGAUCAGGUUUACAGGAUCAUGCCAACAGGAUCACAGGUUAACUUGGAUACGCAAUAUGGAACUUAUACCCAUUUCCCCCCGCACCAUGAGAUAAUUGCCAGAUGAUGUUUAUAAAAUUUUAUAAUUUUGUAUUGACUUGCAGUUAUAAAAAUCUUAAUGUGCACAUUCACAAUUGUUUGCUGAAUCAAGAAACACCGCAUAAAAUUUAUUUUCACCUCAAAUUUUACACUAACAUAAAAAGUUGCGGCGAAGUAAGCAGAAACAAACUAAGAAACGAUUACUUUUAAGUGAUAAGAUUUUUAAAUUCUAUCAAGUAAGCAGAAACAAUAAACUAAAAAACGAGUAAUUUUAAGGGAUAAGAAUUGUAAAUUUUAAUAAAAAAAACCACAUGAAUUUGUAAAUAUUUUCGCAAAUAUUUGUAUGUUUGUAGUACUUUUUCUAACAUUAAAUAAAGUUGUUCAUUUCAUAACACAAUAUAUUUCCCCGAUUUUUUUUUCAUAUAAGCCAUACCAUUCAUUUUUAAUUAUUAGUUUUGUAUUUAUUAUACAUAUUACAUAACCUCCACGUCCAUCAACUAGAGAAAAGAUACGAGUAUAAUGAAAACAUUUAACUUUUAAUAAUAAAUGGUCCUUCCCUCGUUGUGAUUGGCCUUCUACCAGUGACGUCAACACAAUAUUGAACGUUGCCACACUUCCAUAAAGACAUUUCAUAAACCCGACAAUGUUGAUUCCGGUAGCAGCAGUAGCAGUUUCAAGAAUAGACAUUUAGCUGUCUAGCGGGUUGAAACUUGCGGAUCAUUCCGCUACCGGAAUUAUUCCGGUAGCGUCAAGAAUAGGGCCCCCGGACUUGGUUUACCUGGUGUGUUAUGUGAGGGACAGAAUCGGUUUUUAAAAUGACUCUACACGGUGCAAAAUAAAUGUUUGUCGCGGGAGUGUUGUUUGCGCGGGCCUGAUGUGGACUUGUGGAGCUACCUAUGAAGAAACUGCGUUUGAAGAAUGAGCCCACUUUUUCCUUUAAGGGCUAAUCCCCCUUAUGUCGUCAUGUCAAUAUGCAACUGGAAUUGUUCUCACUUCAACUCAUACACCGAAAGGUUGAGUUCUCAGCUUGUGGCUUCUUUGGGAUAAAAAAUUCUUUCAUAACAUCAGUGGUUGGUGUUAUAGCUACAUACUUGGUGAUUCUUGUUCAGUUUCGACAAUCUCUGGACAAAGAGGCUGUUUGUGACGUCCACAAUCCAAACACAACACAGCUACAUUCAAAUUAGUAGACCAUCUACCUCCAGCUUAAAAAAAAAAAAAAAAAAAAGGUGAGAAGAGAAGCUGGAAGCUGACAACGCUAGCUGAUCAGAGAUGGAUGUCAAGCUGCAUUUGUCGACACCACACAAAGCCUGUUGAUGUCGUAUCAGCAUUGGUGUCAUGCUUCCAUUUUUUGAUAUAGCUAUGUCUAAUGUCUAAUUUGAUUGUUUAAUGGAUUGUGCUUACAAGGCAGUUAGGUUUCAGCCAAUUGAGGUAUGGGUGAACAAUGGAUAGUACAUUUUUUUUUUGCUUGGAUGUCUAUUCAAAUAGUGUUUUUUUUUUUUUUUUUUUUUUUAAAUUGCCUGUGUGAUAGAAUGUUAGUGAGUUGUACAUUGUGAAAAAUGUAAUGUAUGAAUGCUGGAACAUUAAAUAAAAAAUUAACAUUUAUAAGAGGAAAAAA